rnacentral:rRNA from 1 species
UGGGGAAUAUUGCACAAUGGGCGCAAGCCUGAUGCAGCCAUGCCGCGUGUAUGAAGAAGGCCUUCGGGUUGUAAAGUACUUUCAGCGGGGAGGAAGGGAGUAAAGUUAAUACCUUUACUCAUUGACGUUACCCGCAGAAGAAGCACCGGCUAACUCCGUGCCAGCAGCCGCGGUAAUACGGAGGGUGCAAGCAUUAAUCGGAAUUACUGGGCGUAAAGCGCACGCAGGCGGUUUGUUAAGUAAGAUGUGAAAUCCCCGGGCUCAACCUGGGAACUGCAUCUGAUACUGGCAAGCUUGAGUCUCGUAGAGGGAGGUAGAAUUCCAGGUGUAGCGGUGAAAUGCGUAGAGAUCUGGAGGAAUACCGGUGGCGAAGGCGGCCCCCUGGACGAAGACUGACGCUCAGGUGCGAAAGCGUGGGGAGCAAACAGG